UGCCGAAACGCACAAUCGUGCGUCUCUCAGAGGUGGCCUCCUGAGACUGAUGAUGGCAGGCUUUA
rnacentral:hammerhead_ribozyme from 1 species